GACGAACGCUGGCGGCGUGCUUAACACAUGCAAGUCGAACGGAAAGGCCCUGCUUUUGUGGGGUGCUCGAGUGGCGAACGGGUGAGUAACACGUGAGUAACCUGCCCUUGACUUUGGGAUAACUUCAGGAAACCGGGGCUAAUACCGGAUAGGAGCUCCUGCUGCAUGGUGGGGGUUGGAAAGUUUCGGCGGUCGGGGAUGGACUCGCGGCUUAUCAGCUUGUUGGUGGGGUAGUGGCUUACCAAGGCUUUGACGGGUAGCCGGCCUGAGAGGGUGACCGGCCACAUUGGGACUGAGAUACGGCCCAGACUCCUACGGGAGGCAGCAGUGGGGAAUAUUGCACAAUGGGCGGAAGCCUGAUGCAGCAACGCCGCGUGCGGGAUGACGGCCUUCGGGUUGUAAACCGCUUUCGCCUGUGACGAAGCGUGAGUGACGGUAAUGGGUAAAGAAGCACCGGCUAACUACGCG
rnacentral:rRNA from 1 species